UAAUGUUGUAUUGUUAUAGCCUUCCUGAUUACCUGAAACCCUUAGGGAUUUUUUUUUUUAAUCUGGAGCUGCUCGCCACAGAUGUUAGCAUGAGAAAUAAUAUGCAUUAGAGUUUAUGUUUUAAAAAAUCAUUAGAUCAUAUUUCUCCCAAAUCAGUCUUACUCAAGGCAAUACUUUUAAUAAAUUCUCAGCACAAUUCAACUACCAUUGUGAAAAGAAGGAUUAAGAACAUAGCCAAGGAUGCUGUUAGAUAGUUUAGGCUUAUGAAUAGACAGACAACUAUAAUAAAAGAACUUUCCUGGCAGAGAACUUUCUCCUGCAACACUUAAAUUUCAUCAGUAGUAAUUAAUUUCUAUUGGCCUUGCAGGCUUUUGGUCUUUUAAAGGUUUCAAACUAGAACACAAACAUGCUUUUAAGGCUUGAUACAUUAAAAACACAGAGAUUGGAUUUGUAACUGACGUGAAGACUGUGUUCAAAUAGUGCCUAAGGUAUAUCUCUGGUAGUAAGUCUUUUGAAAUUUUGGGUUAAAUAUUUUAUAAUUAUUUUAUUAAAAUGACAUACUAUUUAAACUAGCCAACGAUGAAGCUGGGAGACAUCUAAUAUGUCAAAAGAGAGACUUAAAAUCUAAGUGAUCCUGGUUGGCUGGAAUGGGAGAUAAAAUGUUAAAUCUAAAAAAAUGAAAUUUCCUAACUCUAAAUGUAAAGUGCUGCACUUAGGUGAAAAAAAAGAAAAGACAGCAAAACGCUUGGGCAUGAUGUAGUACUUGUUACAGUUAUUUUGACUAUAAACUUAAAUUGACAGUGUGAUGUGGUUGCAGAAAAAAAAAGUAACAAUACAGUCAUUGGUUCUAUGACAAGGGUAUAAUACCCUCUCUUCCUUGUAAAUUCCUCACAUCUGGUGGGUUGUGUUUAGUUCUGGGUGUCACACUUUGAAAAUGACUUUGACCAACAGAGUAUAUCCAGAGAAGUGUGAGCUAAAACUGCAUCAUACAAGGUAUAGUUGAGAGUGAAAAAUGUACACAAUGGAGGAGAGAAACUUAGAUGGACUCGAUUCUGUCUUAAAUAGCUGGCAGACUGCGAGGUAGAAGAACUAAUUUUAUUCUAAGAAGUCUCAGAGGCAGACCUAAAGAAGCAAAGAGAGUGUUGGAGAGAAAGGGAUACUUUGGUUAAAGAGUUACUUGAAAAAUGGAGGUGCUGCCUUCGAGGAAGCCCACCAUCUCUAAAAGUUCAAGUGUUUAUGCAAAGACUUGUCAACUGCUUGUUAAGGAUCUUUUGGAAGAUAUUCUAUGUUUAAUGCUUUGUGCUGUUGUUAAUAGACUUUUUUUAAUUUUUAAUUUUUUUAUUUUUGCUUUUUUAGAGCUGAAGGUAUGGCCUACAGAGGCUCCCAGGGGCCAGGGGUCUAACCAGAGCUGCAGCUGCUGGCCUAAGCCACAGCCAUGACAGUGCAGGAUCUGAGCCUUGUCUGUGACCAGAGCUCACAGCAACUCAAAACCUCAACCUACUGAGUGAAGCCAAGGAUUGAACCUGCAACCUCAUGGACUAGUCGGGUUUGCUACUGCUGAGCCACAAGAGGAACUCCAGUAGACAUCUUAAUAGAGACUGAGUUGUCAUUCAAUAGUGGGACACAGAAUAAGGGCUUGGAAUUUUGGAGAAAUAGUGCCAGGAGGAGAAAGCACUAAGAAAUAACACCAAAUCAAACUUUUGCUUAUGCAGUUGUUGCUGAGAGUCAGCCUGUGUGACAGGUGGGAUUGAGGUGAAGAGGAGGGUGGUGGUACAGAGUGGUGUAGAAUGUCUUUCAGUCAUUUACUCAUUCAGCAAAAAGCCAUGGAUGAAAUCUUAUAUUAGGUACUGGAGAUAGAAAUGAAUAAGAUGUAAUUCUGCUUCACAGGAGCGCUUAUUCUUAUAAGGACAUAAAUAUAGAAAAAUAAUUCACAGCACAACAUGGUAAUUGCUUUGGCAGUAGAGGGUAGGCAGUUGACUAGGGUUCGGCAUUUGGGAUAGACUGAUCAGUGAGUUUAUAAACAUGCAACAAACAAUUCAAACAAUUCAAAUUGGCAACAAGAAAAUCAUGAUGAUGCCAUAUUGAUUUUUUUUUUUGUCAACUCAUGCAUAUACUCAAGAAAGUGUUUUACGGUCAAUCUAUGGAAACUUUAUAGUAAGAGGAGCUUCCUUUAACAAUGGUGAAUACACAACACCUAGGAAUUUUAUUUGCCUGUAAGCUUAGUGUGAGUUUACACUGUGAUAAUAGCAGCCAAAAAAACCCUGUGCUUUUUAAAAUGAAAUGAUAGAUGUAUUUAAAAUAAGAAUGAUGAGAAUAAUGGAAGUAACAUAAGACAGUAUCUGACACAUAGAAAGUACUGUGAUUUAAAGGGGAAUAUCGAUGGUAUAAGCAAGAUCAUUUUUCAAAAAAUAUGAAAUACAAUAGAUGGUACUGAAUGGUGUUUUUUUAAAAGCUGGCAAAAGAUAUGAUUUAUGAGGAACCUAAUUUAAUAUUUUAAUGGCACUUAAUGCCAUGUGGAAGAAUUAGCUGUAGCUCCAGAGAAUUAACUAGAACAAAUCUGAGAAGUUAAAGGGAGGGAAGUUUUGGCUCAGCCCCAAAUAUAACUGUUUGAUAAUUGCAAAGGACUACUUUUUGAUCUAGUAAACUCCCUUGUGUGAUGGCAGUUAUGACUUAACUUUUCAUUACUCCCUGUAUCAGUGUAACUUAACAGUGUAUGCUUUGCCAUAUAACUUAAGCACUGCCUUCCACUGUGGGCAGGUUUAUCUUCCCUGCUCCUUAACUGUGGGCUGCACCAUGUGACUUGCUUGGUCAAUGGGAUAUUAGCAGAUGUUACACAGCAGUGGAUUGAAGUAGGUUUGCACUUUCUUUCUUUUUUCUUUCUUUCUUUGGUCUUUUUAGGGCUGCAUCUGUGGCAUAUGGAGGUGCCCAGCCUAGGGGUCUAAUUGGAGCUACAGCUGCCAGCCUACGCCACAGCCACAGCAAUGCCAGAUCUGAGCCACAUCUGUGACCUACAUCACAGCUCACAGCACUGCUGGAUCCUUAACCCACUGAGUGAGGCCAGGGAUUGAACGUGCAACCUCAUGGUUCCUAGUCGAAUCAGUUUCCUCUGCACCACAAGGGGAUCUCCAUGGGUUUGUUUUCUACUGCACCUUUGCCAGCACCUUGAGAACAUGCUUGGGAUAGACUAUUGGAGAAUGAGAUGCACAGUUGCAGAGUGAGUCAUCCCAGUCGUCCCUGUUGAGGCCUUCCUAAAUUAGCUGAGGACCAGCUGACAUCUAGACAUCUGAAUACAACUAAUUUAGUUGAACAACUAAUUUAGUUGAAUACAACUAAACCUAGGACCUCUAGUCAAGCCUAGAGUAAAUUGCUGUCCCAGUUGUUUAUCAUGAGCAAAUCAAAUAUUUAUAGUUUUAAGUCACUAUAUUUUUUAGAUAGUUUGUUAUGCAUUAUUACUGUUGUGAUAGAAGCUGACACAUUCUCUGUUGGUUGGUUAUGUUCAAGAAGGGGAUGACUGGCUAUCUAUCAGUCAGAUCACUAUAGAAAAGGGUACUUGGAUGAACACUUAGACUAUGUUCCAAAGAUAGUUCCCUUCUCAGGGAUUGCAAUGGUAAUAUCAAAGUAAUAAUUAAUACUUAAUGAGCAGUUACUAUCUGCCAGGCAUUGUUUUAAGAGCUAUACGUGUUAGUAUUUACUUCUAAGAGGUGGUUACUCUCAUUGUUUCCAUUAUACUAUUAAGAAACAAGCAGAGAUUGCAACUACUAAGUGUGGAUCUAGGAUUGAAUUUAGGUUUCUGAUUCGAAAAAUCCCACCCUUUAUCAGCAUAUCAUGUUCACAUUGGCCCACUAGGCUAUUUCGGUGUUCCUAAAGCCUACUGGAAAGUGGGCAUUUAUAGUUCCAUAUGUUUACUGAGAAAAGGAAAAUUAAUCACUUCUCUAAAUGGAUUUUUUUUUGGAUAUAGGAAAACUUUCAAAACAUGAAUUAUAUUAGACAAAAUUAAAAAGGGCUUCUUAGUGGCAAAAAUGUUGACAACUAUGCUUUAAGCAAAUAAGAUUCUAUGAUUCCUAGACAAUAUCUAUUCUAAUGCUAAUAUGCAAGUUUUCUUUUUUCAAAAUAAUAAUUUAGUGAAAAACAUUGCAUACAAACUUCCUUAGACCACUUGCUUUAUAAUAAGUACUUUAUAGGGCCAUCAUGAAUAAAAGAUAGAUUUGUAGGUGAUAGUAAGAAUAUUCUGCCCACUUACCAAAAAUAUGUUACGACAUAAAGAAAAUUAAAAAUAAAAUGCAUUUUAGCCAAACUAUUGGUGGUAGUAUUGAAUUACAAUAAAACUCCUGCAUUACACUAGAUGUGGAGUUAGAAUUAGCAAUAACUUUCACUUAAUAAGUUAAACAUGUUAUGUAGCUUUGGUUUAUGUAGAUAUUUGGGGGAACAUGGCUUAACUUUUAUGUCUUACUGGAUGCUAUAAUUAACUUUGCUACUUUAAUGGUAAUGAAAUCCAUACUUUGAUACCUUUUCUAUAACUGAAGAUAAAUGUUGAAUAGGAAUCAAUUUGAACUGUUGAAAAUAUCUUUUUCUAAAUCUAAUGAACUUACAUGAGUUUAGCAGAUGAGCUCUGUUUUAAAAUUCUUUUAAAAAUUAUAUUCUCUUCUGCAUUGCUUGCUUUUCUAAAAUUUUACCUAUUUUUACACCAAAGAAGUUGGAAGCAGGAUGGUAGAAUGUGGAGCUUAUGGCUGAUCUCUUUUGAAUGUUUAUUUCAUUUCUUAGAAAAAAAAUUCACCGCUGUUCAAAAACUACCUUAAUGCAAGUGAUCUCCAGCUUCCCUCACACAGUUCAAAAAGGAAUAUAUACAUUAUUUUUCAGUAUGUAAAAGUAUUUGACCUAAUAUACAUAUGUAUUUAUUUCAAAAUAUAAACAUAUAUUGGAAUGAUUCAUCAGUCAGUUGAACCUUCUUGGCAGGCUUUAUUGGCAGGUUGAAUUGGGAUAUCCUGGACCAAAGCUAUUUUAUAAUUUUCUGUGGAUUUUCUCACAGUUGUUUGUUUACAUCUGUGGAUGGAUUUUCUUACUCACAAGAUGGUAAACUAAGUGAAAAGCAAGAAAUUUCAUCAAUAGAAAAUACUACCUAUAUGAUGAUGAAUACUUAGCUAUACUGCAGAUGGAAAUAUGGCUAUUACCCUAUUCUGGGCCAUUAAUAAUUAGCACUAAUUGAUAGCUCUUUUCCCCUGAGUCCAGACUUAGAUUUGGAGAAUUUUAUUGAUUGGAGAUUAUGUAGGCAUUCCCAUUGUGGUGCAGUGGUUAACGAGUCCAACUAGGAACCAUGAGGUUGUGGGUUCAAUCCCUGGCCUUGCUCAGUGGGUUAAGGAUCCAGCGUUGCGUGAGCUGUGGUGUAGGUUGCAGACGCACCUCGGAUUCUGCAUUGCUGUGGCUCUGGUGAAGGCCAGCGGCUACAGCUCUGAUUCGACCCCUAGCCUGGGAACCUCCAUAUGCCAUGAGAACAGCCCAAGAAAUGGC
rnacentral:lncRNA from 1 species